AGCUUGUGUUGAGAGGCGGAGUCUUGGGCAAUUGCCAGCAAUCUUAAGGGGCAUUGCACUUGUCUCGGUCUGACAGCACUGGCC
rfam:Salmo salar isolate Sally breed double haploid chromosome ssa11, whole genome shotgun sequence.